UAUGUAAUUAAUGGAAACACUUGUGGCAAUUGGGAAAUUUUUCAUCUUAGUAUGGGUUUAAGUGCUUGAGAGAUUGGCGGAUGGAGCCGUUUUGAGCGGCAGUAGUACGGCAAUGGCGAGUGAGGGUUUCGACGCGGAAGAAUGGGACGCCGACUUCCUAGACGAGCUAGUACAAGCUGAGGAGCUGGCCUUGUCUACCCAAAUUUCUCAUCAGCCGCAACAACCGCCGCGGGCGCCGCCGUCGUGUGUCGUUAGCUAUUCCCCUCCUCGCGAACUGUCCCAGCGAAUCCGUGAAACCUCCUACACGAGCGGCAUUCCGGAUACGUUUGAUUCGUUUGCCCCUCGCGAGCCCCAAUUUGCAAAGGAGCAAGAACUUGAUAGACUAAAGAAAGAGCUAAACCGCGUCUCGAAGCAGUUAAAUCAUCUGGAGCGGGAAUGCUGGGAGCUUAGAAAGGAAAGGGACAAAAAGGAGGAGCAGCUGAAAGUUAUACAUUCAAGGAUUGAGGUUAAGGAUGCCGAGUUUCAUCUCCCAAGGAGUGCAGAGAUUCCCAAAGAUCCUGGGACAUCCGCAGUGCGUCCAAAUGCAAAUUUAUCAGAUCAGCAGCCUGGGUCCUGGACAAAAUCUUGUAAAACAGUAGGGGUACAGACAGAUAAAACUACUGACGUAUGCGGCUCAGAGAAAUUGUUUGGUGUUUGGAACUCGGAUAACCAAGAACUGGGAAGAGUUCUUGUUGCAAAGCUUUUUAUGACUUGCAAAGAGGAUUUUCAUGUGCUGUUUGGAUACCUGAACUGUCAAGAUGACUCUGGCAUGGCUUUGUCAGAUCAUCUGUGUCCUCAGUCCAUAGAAACAACAAAAGUAUCAAGUCUAUUCACUGUGUUGACCGAGAUCAGUAAUGCUACCUCAGUAUUGAAGGAUUUGUUGGAAGCUUUGCUUGAUCUUUGCAGUCUAAAAAAUGUAGUUAUUGUUCAUAGGUCUCUUCGUGUUCUACACAUGAUUUUGAUCAAUUCCACCAGCAUGGAAAAGGAAUUUGGUAAAAGGGAAAAUGUUACGAUUGAGGAAUUCCCUGAAAACAGCAAAUCUGAUACAAAUGGAUAUGGAAUUUUGCAAAAAGAAAGCAUAAGUUUUGCAAAUAUAGCAGAGAUGUUAAAGCAGGGCCCAAUUCGGCAUGGUACGAGAUUGUGUUAUGAUAAAACCCCUGAUCAUAGCAGGUUCCUUGGUAAUAGAUUUAGCGCAUCUAUUUCUGUUGUCUAUUGGGUUUCUGUUUUUGAACAUAUGUGCCAAAUUGCCAUAAAAUACAAUGAAGAAGAAAUCCGGCAUGAAGCACUUUCAGUCAUGAAUUUGGUUCUUAUGAGACACAAAGCCUAUGUGGAGAGAGUCAAGUUUGCUGGGGAACCAGUAUUUCAAUGUUUAUCGCGAUUAUUGAGGAGGGAAGCUGGAUUUUCUGUGCAAGACCAAGCUGUUCAUACACUUUAUCUGCUAUGCAAUUGUCCAGAAGUCAUAGCUAGACUUUGUUCUGGUUCAGAAGAGGAUGGAGACUCCAAGGAUAUUAAUGACAAAAGUAUUUCAACUUUCCAAGUGUUAAAUGAGAUCUUAAUCGGCUUGGCAGAUUGUGUAGCUUGCUAUGGAACUGCUAGUGCAGAGGAGAUGAAGCUUCGAAGAAAUGCUAUUGUUUUCCUAGCAUUCUUAGGAUCGUCGGGAAAACCCGGCUUGGAAAUUUUGAUAAAUUAUAGUCUUCCUAAGGGUGCCAAUUUCCUUGCUAUCAUAUUGCAAUCUUUAAAAUCAGAUUUGGACCUUCAGACACUAAAGCCUGCUCAGCCAUCAGUCAUUGCCAGAGAACAAUGCUUGCUCGUUCGGGAGGCACUAAUCCUUUUGAAUAGACUUGUGUCCCAUCCUCAAUACUCCAACCCUGUUUUGCAAGCCUUAACAAACACAAGACACAUGGCGAGCAUGGCUGUGGAUAUUGCUACCAGAUUGGCCCAGAAAAGCAAGUUAUUGUGGCAGGACAAUAACACCACGAAGCAAAUUAGGGAAUCUGAAAUUUUGGACUUGGCUCGGGUCUUCAAAAACAGAAUUUUUACAUUUUUAGGAGAUAGCAUAUCAUGAGAACAGGACUUUCUGAUGGCCUGCUUUUUGGGGUAUCAAUGAGUGCCCUCAAGUUUAAUUACAACAUUCUGGUGCUAAUGCUCUCUAUCUUCCCCAUCCAUUUUUCCAGCACCAGUCAAGGCUAUCGGGAGCACGAAGGUCGAACGCCACUAAGGAUAGAAAGGAAGGUGAAAAUUUUGUUCUUAUUUUGAUUUUUUUGAAUUUAUGAUAUGAGUUCAACCAAAUUCACUCCCAAUCUAGAAAUCGUCUGUUCUUGAUAUAUUUGCAUAGUUUAGCUUUCUACUUUCUACAAGUGCUAAUGGAACUGAGGGGAGCCCUACGUAUCCUCUUAAUCGAAUCAUUUCAUGAUAUUCACGUCUAUCCGGUGGAGGUUUUCUUUUAGUGUUUGUUACUAAUUAAGUGUUCCUUUGGCCCUGCAA